AAACCUCUCCGAGCCCACAUACCUCCUCUGUGAACAGGGAUUCUGAGAGCGGCUCUGCUGCCCUUAUGGGAAACGCAUUUUGGAAAAUGUCAUACCUCACAGAGCACACCAUAUCUCAUGCUGAUCCUGCUGAGCUACAGCCCACACUACCACAUCUUGAGAGAGGAGGAAGACACCCGGACUCUGCCCAUGCACCUGCUGCUUCGUCAGGAGGACACCUGUUUCUUGCAGCAGGGAGAACUAUGAAGAUUGUCCCUGCCCCCUCAGGUGGGCUGAGCAGCCUGCAAGUAGGGCUGUCAGGGGAGGAUCACAGCAGCCAUCCAAGGUGGAGACAUUCUGCCUGAGGCCUCCCUGCUAAUGUCUGUCACCCAUUGCUUCAGCUUCCUGCUAAGGCCACUACCGUUCUCCCCCGGGGUUUGACCCACCUCCUCUGAGCAAGCCGGCCAUGCUCCCCCAAAAUGGACACACAGGGAUGGACCCCCAUGAAGAAUUCUGGGGUAGCAUUCUGGGUCGUGCCUUUUUUUCCAGCCACUUUUUGUAUGUUCGUUCAUUCAACAAACACUUAACAAUGCCUACUGUGUGUGAGUCACUGUGCUGGGCUAUGGCUCUCUAAACAUGAAUAAAGUAUACUCAUUGUCCUCUGA